rnacentral:rRNA from 1 species
GACGAACGCUGGCGGCGUGCUUAACACAUGCAAGUCGAACGAAGUGGCGAAAGGGUGAGUAAUACGUGGGUAACCUGCCCUCCUUUUGGGGAUAAGCCUUGGAAACGUGGUCUAAUACCGACUAAAGGGGGUUGGGCUCGGGCCCUAUCAGCUUGUUGGUGGGGUCAUGGGCUCCCAAGGCGGUGCAGGGUAGGCGGCCUGAGAGGGUGACCGGCCACAUUGGUACUGACAUACGGCCUAGACGCUGACGGGAGGCAGAAGUGGGGGAUAGUGCACAAAGGGCGAAAGCCUGAUGCAGCGACGCCGCGUGGGGGAUGAAGGCUUUCGGGUUGUAAACCUCUUUCGCUAGCGAACGGGUAGGUGGAGAAGAAGCGCCGGCUAACUACGUGCCAGCAGCCGCGGUAAUAC